rnacentral:rRNA from 1 species
UACAGAGGGGGCAAGCGUUAUUCGGAAUUACUGGGCGUAAAGGGCGCGUAGGCGGCAUGACAAGUCACUUGUGAAAUCUCUGGGCUUAACUCAGAACGGCCAAGUGAUACUGUCGCGCUAGAGUGCGGAAGGGGCAAUCGGAAUUCUUGGUGUAGCGGUGAAAUGCGUAGAUAUCAAGAGGAACACCUGAGGUGAAGACGGGUUGCUGGGCCGACACUGACGCUGAUGCGCGAAAGCUAGGGGAGCAAACGGG